rnacentral:rRNA from 1 species
ACCCUUUAAUGUUUGAUGUUCUAACGUUGGCCCCUGACCGGGGUUGCGGACAGUGUCUGGUGGGUAGUUUGACUGGGGCGGUCUCCUCCCAAAGCGUAACGGAGGAGCACGAAGGUUAGCUAAUCCUGGUCGGACAUCAGGAGGUUAGUGGAAUGGCAUAAGCUAGCUUGACUGCGAGCGUGACGGCGCGAGCAGGUGCGAAAGCAGGUCAUAGUGAUCCGGUGGUUCUGAAUGGAAGGGCCAUCGCUCAACGGAUAAAAGGUACUCCGGGGAUAACAGGCUGAUACCGCCCAAGAGUUCA